UCGCAUGCCUUAGUCCCCCCUCCCUCUGUUCCCUUAAGCUGACACUCACCAGUUUUUCCCCACUGUCUGUGUCCCAACAGGGGCUGGAGAAUCAGGAAAAAGCACCAUUGUGAAGCAGAUGAACCCCUCGGGGAGUUUAAAUAAGGUGCUGCGGCACUUGAGUUCUGCAAAAGACACCUAUUCGCUGACCAGACAGAGAUGCUUAGCCACAACUCACAACUCUCAGGGUGCAGUUGGAAGAGGAGGAAGCGGCAUGGCAUAUAAAGCUCAUGCUCCCUUGAAGGCUGGUGAUGGAGACAAGUUAUGUCUUCUAGCAUUUGACUCCCUCAGAGAGACUGCAGGACUUCCCUCUGAUUGCAGGUGGCUCAAUCCACUCAGAUCACCUAGAAACUUGAUAGAGAUUUAGAAUCUUAAAGAAGACAGAAGCUUAGACAGAGCAUGUAGCCCAGCCCAUCAACAGAUGAGGAAGUUGAAUCCUGCAGGGACUACGAGGAGGAUCAUCCAUGAAGAUGGCUUCUCCGGAGAAGAUGUGAAACAGUACAAGCCUGUUGUCUACAGCAACACCAUCCAGUCCCUGGCAGCCAUCGUCCGGGCCAUGGACACUUUGGGCAUCGAAUAUGGUGAUAAGGAGAGAAAGGCUGACGCCAAGAUGGUGUGUGACGUGGUGAGUCGGAUGGAAGACACCGAGCCCUUCUCUGCAGAGCUGCUUUCUGCCAUGAUGCGGCUCUGGGGCGACUCAGGAAUCCAAGAGUGCUUCAACCGGUCCCGGGAGUAUCAGCUCAACGACUCUGCCAAAUACUACCUGGACAGCCUGGAUCGGAUUGGGGCCGCCGACUACCAGCCCAC
rnacentral:sRNA from 1 species